rnacentral:rRNA from 1 species
AGCGAACGCUGGCGGCAGGCCUAACACAUGCAAGUCGAACGCCCCUUCGGGGGAGUGGCGGACGGGUGAGUAACGCGUGGGAACGUGCCCUUUGGUACGGAACAACUGAGGGAAACUUCAGCUAAUACCGUAUGAGCCCCCAUUCUUAGCGGGAUGGGUGGGAAAGAUUUAUCGCCGAAGGAGCGGCCCGCGUUGGAUUAGCUAGUUGGUGGGGUAAGGGCCCACCAAGGCUACGAUCCAUAGCUGGUCUGAGAGGAUGAUCAGCCACACUGGGACUGAGACACGGCCCAGACUCCUACGGGAGGAAGCAGUGGGGAAUCUUGCGAAAUGGGCGAAAGCCUGACGCAGCCAUGCCGCGUGAAUGAUGAAGGUCUUAGGAUUGUAAAAUUCUUUCACCGGGGAAGAUAAUGACGGUACCCGGAGAAGAAGCCCCGGCUAACUUCGUGCCAGCCGCCGCAGUAAGAC